GGUAAGUCAAGCUUCUGUGCCUAUCCGUUUAUCCCGUUGGAUUUCACCGUGACGAACACAGAGCUCGAGCGAGCUAGCGCCAGCGCCGGCCAUCAUCCUCGCCGUCAAUUCCUUUGCGCCACCGCCCACCAACAACCCCUGUAACCUCACCAUGACGCCCUAAAGCCGACCGUUGCCCAGUUUUUCGCCGUCGAGCUCCGAAUCGCCGCCCUACCGGUCCGCCCGCCGCCACCACCAUCCGCCGGUGAGUUUCUUCGUGCCGGUCCUUUCCCUUUCAAUCGUCGGUCCUCAUAGAGUACCUAGGUCGUAUAGAUGCCGUAGGUUUCGCCGGAGCCCCUUUUUGUGCCGCCACCGAGCCUUGCGCCGGCCGGCCGCCGGCCAUGGUGCCGCCGCUCGUGGGGAGCACGGCACAGGCCACCUCCGGGAGGGCCGCCGCCACAUGUGGGGGAGUCUCGGCUUGGAGAUGCCCCCAGCCCGGCCGCGCCGCCGGGGAGGCGCCGCCGGCGAGCUCCCGCCCCCUGCGGCGUGCGCCCCUGUUUUGGCGCAAGGAGGAAGGAGAUAUGCGCCAGGGGGUUGUGAGGAGAAGAAGGAGAAGAAGAAAGGCCAGCCGCCGUUUUGGGCCGAGAGAGAGAUGCCGGCCCAGCUAAGCCCGCGCGGCAUAGAAGAAGAAAAGGAAAUAGGCCGGUCGUUGUGCUUGGGCCGGGAAUGCCGCGUCACGGAAGGAGAGGCCCAGGUGGAGGGGGAGAGAAAAAGAUGAGGGCCGACCGCUCGUCGUGGGCCAAGGGGAGGCGAUGGCCCAGCUGGUCGCGCGAGUAAAAGAGGAAGGUGGGCCGGCGGAGGAAAGAAAGGCAGUGGGCCAGAGUGAGCAGGCCGAUUGUCGAAGAAAGAAAAAGAAAAAGAAGAGGUGGGCCGGCGGGUGAAAGAGAGAACCGGUGGGCCGUUGAGCGUUGGGAAGGAACAAGCUGUGCGGCCCAGGUGAAGUUAGGGAAGAAAGAAAAAGUGGGCCGGCCGGGAUUGAGAAAGAGAGGAGAAGGGGGAGCCGGCCCAAAGAGAAGGCUGCCGCAAAAAAAAAAAAAGCCACGCGCCACGGGUUAAAGAUUGACGGGCCACCUUUUGGCCCGAGGAAGGGUGCCGGUUGUGGGCCCCACUUGUCAGAGAAGAAGAAAGGGAGAAAAUAGGAGACCGGAUGGGCCCUAGGUGGAAGUGAUGGUGGGUAGAAGCAAGUUGGGUGAGAAAGUUUGGGCCGGGGGUUUUAAGUAAACCUUAGGUUUUCCUUUAUUAGAUAAAUAGAUUAAAGGCUGUUUUCACCAUUUAAUUCACAUGAAAUUCUAGAAGUGCCCAAAGUUAGUGAAACCAAUUUUAUUAGGAUUGCUUUAUUUUCCUUUAUGCAUUAAAAUUCUUAAACCCUAGGAAAAAUAAUAAAAAUUUAGGUAUUUAUUUAAUGCCUUUUUAUGUAAGGUAUUUAAAUAAAUGCUUAAACUUUAUUAAAUGUAUAAAACUUGAAAAUGCUUUAUUAUCCACAAAUUAUUAUUAAUUCAUAGGAAUUAGGUUUUUGAGAUUAGAAAAUUAUUAUAAUGCUUUUAAAAAUAAAAGAAGAGGUCUAAGGUAGGUUUAGUAAAGGAAAUAAAAAUGGUGGGCUAAUCUUUAGGGUUUUUGUGUGUUGGCUUGCAACUUUAUCAUGAUAAAUUGUAUAGUCCUUGUUGGCUUGCAACUUUAUCAUGAAGGAAAGUUGUAUAAUCUUGUAUUUAAAAGUUUUGCAUCUCUAACUCUUGCAUAUACUGAAUCGUAGACGUCACAACUCCUGAAGUGGAAUUCAUGGAAUUCAACCGGAGGUGGACAGCAUUCGCGAAAUGUGGAGUGCCUCUUUUAAUGAACAAGUUUUCCGAAGAACUAACCUUGUUGAUCCCAGGCAAGCCCCGGUGCAUUUAUACCUAUCUAUUUUAGAGUCGUCAUUUCAUGUGACUAGUUAUAGGUUAUUUGUUUAUUGUAUGCACUAAGUCUAGGAGUUGGAUGAAACCUAUUCUUGUGUAUGAUCCUGCCUUGAUUUAAGGACAUCUUUGCCACUUGUUCAAACCUUAGAAACUACCCAAGUCUAGAAUUGCUUACUUGCUUACCUGCUUGGUUUACCAACCUUAAGGCAAACACUUAAGUCAUACAUGUUGCUUAUGAAAGAUAGUUUGGAACAUGGAACCAGACAGAAGCUAGAGAUGUAGUUCUGUCUGCUAGAUUAAUCUGGUUAAGGACCGAUCCGUGUCUUAACCAUUGAUCAAGUGAUAACCUCUGAUCACUUACUGGGUAUGGGACCAGUAAAGCCCAGUAGAUUAGUAAAUUCUAUGAUCAGGAAUGCUUCGUACCCGCAUUUGACGUGCUGGAGAUUGGCAGGGGUGUAGCCUGGAACUCACAUGGAGAUCAGGCCAGACGUGGGGUCCCAUGUGGGGGUGCAUCCCUGGGUCCGGGUAGUUGUAUUCCUAAUCAUUAACUUUGCUAAUCGAGAGGUUGUGAGAUACGACCGGAACAGUCGUAUAAUGCUGGUGAUCAGGGUACUCUCCUGCAGGAUGUAAUUAGAUCCGGAUCGUCGCAAUUCUCGGUUAUGAAUGCACUUGAUCGCUGUUGAGCAUCGUAGUAUAAACUCAUGCAAUAUAAAAUCUCCUGUUGACAAGUACUGUAUGAUUUAACCGCUGUGAUUGCUUUUACUUCUGUUAUCAUCUAGAAUGGUUAGGUAAUGACUUAACUCAAAUAAAAGAUAAAACUAAGGCCUCACUUAUAGUAAGCUUUUUCGGCAAAAUUGUGUCAACCAAGCACACCCAAAGGCUGACAUGCAUUCCAAAGAAAAAUAUUAUAUUGGUUAGUCGGGUAAGACUUGCUGAGUACUUCGUACUCAGGGGAUCCCUUGUUGUUGUUUUCAGAAAGCCAGCAGGGACCCACCGAAGAGGAAGCCCCGAAGACGUAGGGUAUCUUAUGAGUCUCAUGAUACUCUAGAAUAAAACUUAAAUGUUUAUUUUUAAAUUCUUAAGAACCACGCUGACCUGCAUGAUUAAGUUGUUUCAAACUAUGGUUGUAAUAUAUCGUACCUUUGUUAUGUCUUUAAA
rnacentral:lncRNA from 1 species